AUACGUAGGUGGCAAGCGUUGUCCGGAUUCAUUGGGUUUAAAGGGUGCGCAGGCGGAUUGGUAAGUCAGGGGUGAAAUCCCACAGCUCAACUGUGGAACUGCCUUUCGAACUGUCCGACUAGAGUCUUGUAGAGGGGGGUAGAAUUCCAGGUGUAGCGGUGAAAUCCGUAGAUAUCCGGAGGAACACCGGUGGCGAAGGCGGCCACCUGGACAGGUACUGACGCUGAGGCGCGAAAGCGUGGGGAGC
rnacentral:rRNA from 1 species